AACACUUUUAGAUGGGAGACAUGGUUUUAAUUUCUUUAAAAGACAAAAAUCUACGCAUAGUAAGACACAUAAGAAAAGAACCAAUACAGUGUAUGGACUUUACCAAAUUUACAAAACUGAUCAAAUAAAAAUCUCAAAAUAAACUCAUUCUAGAUUUAACAUAUACUGUAUCUACCAAGCAUUCUCUCUACAUAGUAAACAGAACAAUUCACUCAGCUCUUUUAAAGUCACACAAAAAACAUUUGAUUCAUUAUUUCCAUAAAAACAGUUUUUCUGGAGAAUACAGGGACCAAAUAUAGAUCCACACAAAAGAUCUUUCUGACUGAUAAUAGCUACUUUAAAUUUAUUAUGAAAGUGUAAUUUUUCAAGGCACCUGGGUAGAACCACUGACCUACCGUAAGUCAGCUGGAUGGCUCCUGCACAUAACAAAUUCUACACUUUGUAUAAAUUAAGGUUUUGGCAAUAAAAUGUUGCAUUUAUGUUUACUUCUGUAACGGUUCGAGAACAAAAGUACUAAAAAUUACAGUUUCAAUAUAUUUUGUUUUACCAACUUAUAUUUGAUUGAAACUCUGAGGAUUCUCAUGUCAAGAAAACUACUCCAAAUGUUUAGAAAGUUGUUUUUUUAAAGUUCCUAUUUACACUGUAUCUGAAAUAAUUUAAUGAAAAAGCCUAUUUAAGGAAAUGUCAAUCACACAUUAACAGCAUGGGAACUUGCUUAGCAUAUGUUAGUGCAAACAAGGUUACAUGAAAUUUAUUUAUAGAUAUAAAGGAAAGUAUCACCAAUUCUUUUUCCACCUUUGGAUGUGGCCAGUAAAAGGAACCUU